GUAUACUCACGGCGAGACGACACGUGGGCUCGGAGGUAGCGCACGUGGCUGGCUGCUGGCCCAGAGCCUAGCUUGGCGUGUCUAGGCAGUGGCGUGGCACGGGCAGGUCAGCCCACCGAGCCAGCCCUCACCUGCUCUUCUCUCCUGCUUUGGUAAGUACCCAGUCCAGGUUUCAUCGAGGGACAGCGCCGCGGGAGCAACCAACGCCUCGCCGCCGGAAGUUAAGUUCACAGUGGCAUUCUUUUAUUUUGGGGAGGGAGUAUGCAGGCUAACACUCCUUUGCCUUUCAGGAACACUUUUACAGUCGUUAGUCUUUUUAGCCCCAGGAGUAACGUGGGGCGUGUCUCCCAGCUCUGGUCUGUGUGUUUGCAGCGGUGUUUCGUCGGCGUCCUUCCGUCUUGUGGUGCUGCCCAAGUAUCACACAAAUACGAGCCACCUGUCCAUCGCACCUCAAUAUUUAGCAUCGAGAGGUCCAUUCGUCUCCUUCUGUACAAAAUUGCGCGUAAUGUUCUUCGUGGGCCAACUCCAAUCAUUCUUUCGG